CCUACGGGAGGCAGCAGUGGGGAAUAUUGGACAAUGGGCGAAAGCCUGAUCCAGCCAUGCCGCGUGUGUGAAGAAGGUCUUCGGAUUGUAAAGCACUUUAAGUUGGGAGGAAGGGUUGUAGAUUAAUACUCUGCAAUUUUGACGUUACCGACAGAAUAAGCACCGGCUAACUCUGUGCCAGCAGCCGCGGUAAUACAGAGGGUGCAAGCGUUAAUCGGAAUUACUGGGCGUAAAGCGCGCGUAGGUGGUUUGUUAAGUUGGAUGUGAAAUCCCCGGGCUCAACCUGGGAACUGCAUCCAAAACUGGCAAGCUAGAGUAUGGUAGAGGGUGGUGGAAUUUCCUGUGUAGCGGUGAAAUGCGUAGAUAUAGGAAGGAACACCAGUGGCGAAGGCGACCACCUGGACUGAUACUGACACUGAGGUGCGAAAGCGUGGGGAGCAAACAGGAUUAGGAUACCCUGGUAGUCCACGCCGUAAACGAUGUCAACUAGCCGUUAGGAGCUGNGCUCUUGUGGCGCGNGCGUACGCGAGUUAAGUUAGACCGCCGNGGGUAAGGUACGGCCGCGAGUAAACGUUACGAAGUAGAGUUAGACGGCGNGAGAGNGCGACGGACGACGACGAGGGAGGAGG
rnacentral:rRNA from 1 species